UCGGGCCUUGUGAGGGGGGGUGUAGUAACAUAAUUUAUUUAGAAAAUUUAAAAGAAAGGUACUGUGUUUAGCAGAAAGAACAUGGAAAGGACUACAGAAAAGUAGAUCAUCUAUAUACUGCAGAAGGAGACUAGGAGAGAGUUUCAGAUUAAGAUUAAUUAGGUCAUGAGAUUAGGCUUGGCUGCACAAGUGGGAACUGCCUCUAAAGCCCUGAGGAAGGUCAUCCAGGUCAGCUGGGUAGAGAAGUCAGUAUCAGGGUCCAUCCACAUAAAAGCACAUAGAUCCUGAGAAGAGUGAUCUAAUGGGAGAGUGAAACAGGCAUCUUGAAGAUCAAGGACUGAGAAGUGAGUUGUAGUUGAGGGAAUAUGAGAGAGUGGAGCACAAGGUUAGGGAUUACAGGAUGAUUUGGGACAACUGCCUGAUUAAUCAGAUCCUGGACUAGUUAGAAAGUACCCUGGAAUUUUAGACAGCCAGAAUUGGGGUGUUAUGAGGAGAGCUGGUGGGUCAAAGACUGUUAGCUUUGUGAAGGCAAGAAAUGAUGGGUUUAAAGCCUCAAAGUCCUUGGUGUCUGAGAAGAUGUGGGAUUGUCAAAAGGAGGAGAUGGUUCCUUAUAGAGAACUCUUAACAGGAGUGUGAUGGGUGGCCACAGUGGGUUUGGAGGAGCAUUGACGGAGAUGUUAAAGAGGAAUCUGGAAGAACAUCUGGUCAGCAUCAGAGUGUAAAGGAGACAGAGGAGUAUGGGGAGUUAUGGUGGUUUUUGUUGAAAAUUAAAAUGAAUGGGAGCAUUGAAUUUGGUUAGGAUGUCCCUACCAAAGUUAGGUGCUACGGAUUGGGGUAUAAUUAAGAAGAAGUGAGAGAAUGAAGUGUCAAAUAGGUUACAGAAUAAAGCACCUGUUUGUCUAAGGGUGCUGUGUUUUCUGCCAAUGCUAAC
rnacentral:lncRNA from 1 species